rnacentral:tRNA from 1 species
GUGGUUAUAGCUCAGUGGUGAGCAUGUGCUUAGCACUUACAGGGUCCUGGGUUCAAUCCCCAGCACCUCCA